AUACGGAGGAUGCAAGCGUUAUCCGGAUUUAUUGGGUUUAAAGGGUGCGUAGGCGGAUGAUUAAGCGUGAGGUGAAAUGCCACUGCUCAACAGUGGAACUGCCUCGCGAACUGGUUGUCUUGAAUGCUCCUGCCGUGGGAGGAAUGUGUGGUGUAGCGGUGAAAUGCAUAGAGAUCACACAGAACACCGAUUGCGAAGGCAUCUCACGAAGGGGUGAUUGACGCUGAGGCACGAAAGCGUGGGGAUCAAACAGGAUUAGAUACCCUGGUAGUCCACACUGUAAACGAUGAAUGCUAGGUGUAAGAGGUAUCGACCCCUUUUGUGCCGGAGUCAACACAAUAAGCAUUCCGCCUGGGGAGUACGGCCGCAAGGUUGAAACUCAAAGGAAUUGACGGGG
rnacentral:rRNA from 1 species